rnacentral:rRNA from 1 species
UACGAGGGGGUCCAAGCGUUGUUCGGAAUCACUGGGCGUAAAGCGGGUGUAGGUGGCUCAGCAAGUUGGAUGUGAAAGCCCCGGGCUCAACCCGGGAAGUGCAUCCAAAACUACUGAGCUUGAGUACGGGAGAGAAUGGUAGAAUUCCCGGUGUAGAGGUGAAAUUCGUAGAUAUCGGGAGGAACACCGGUGGCGAAGGCGGCGACCUGGGUAGAUACUGACGCUGAGGCGCGAAAGCGUGGGGAGCAAACAGG